CGGGGUGAGUAAUGUCUGGGAAACUGCCUGAUGGAGGGGGAUAACUGCUGGAAACGGUAGCUAAUACCGCAUAACGUCGCAAGACCAAAGAGGGGGACCUUCGGGCCUCUUGCCAUCGGAUGUGCCCAGAUGGAAUUAGCUAGUAGGUGGGGUAACGGCUCACCUAGGCGACGAUCCCUAGCUGGUCUGAGAGGAUGACCAGCCACACUGGAACUGAGACACGGUCCAG
rnacentral:rRNA from 1 species